AAAAGUGAAUAAUAUAUACUAAUCAUAUUAUCAAACACUUUCCAAACAUGAAGGCCAUUCUCAUUGCUUUCUUACUCUUUGCUUCUCUUUUUUUCCUUUCCACUUCAACUCUCGCUCGCGAACUGUAUGAUGUGUCGUUCCAUGUGCCAACGUCACCACCACCACCCCCAGCGGCAGCAGCACCAUGCCCAUUAUUUUCACGUAAUUGUUGACCAAUAUCUGAUUUGGAUAUCCAAAGAUGCAAUACCCGAAUGAAUUAAGUAUACUUUUUACUUAUUGCUACUGCCAUUUAACACUUGUUGUGUUAAAUCAACGUCGGUAAUUUCAGUUUUUUUUAGUAUACCUUCUCUAUGUUUUUGCUUUAGAAUUUCGAGUGUUUUGUCUGAAUAUGGUGUGUUUUUCGAUUUUGCUGUAAAAUAAACAUUCGGCCUCUAGGCCAAUCCAAUAAAUAUGAAUAUGGUUCCGUUUCCUUUUAA